CUGGACUUUACAGGACGAUAUUUUUGGAAGGAGACAAUGUUCUUCGCAUGUUCUUCUUCUUUAUCAUUCUCAUAAUCUUUGUUAACACAAUGAGAUAGAGAGAAGGAGAUAAGUGUGGGGUGAGAGAUUAGAUGAUAAUAUUUCUUUUUGCAUGAAAAAUAACAGGUCAUGCAAGAAAGAUGGGGUGAGGGGAUUAAUGGUGAAGGGGAGUAGAUUGGUGUUACAAAGUUCAUUAAUUGAUGAAAUAUAAUGUAUGUAAUUAAAUGUGGAGAGGUGAAGGGUUGAGCAUUUAGAAGUGGAGAUUAAUGGUGGAGGGGAAUGGAUUGGAAUUACAAAGCUCACUAAUUGAUAGAAUAUGAUGCAUGCAAUUAAAUAUGGAGAGAUGAAGGGUUUAGCAUAGCAUUUAGAAGUGAGGAUUAAUAGUGGAGGGGAAUGGAUUGGAGUUACAAAGUUCACUAAUUGGUGAAAUAUAAUGUAUGUAAUUAAAUAUGGAGAGGUGAAGGGUUACGCAUUUAGAAGUGGAGAAGAAACAUAAAUUUCAUAUUGGGGAUUUAUACAAGAGAUAAAUAUUAUCUAUUAACCUAGGAAUGAAGGGAUUCUUGCCACGUGGCAAGAAAUAUUGUGGAUUCAUUAUGUUUAAUAUAUAUAUAUAUAUAUUUAUAAUAUAUAUAUAUAAUAUAUAUAUUAGGGGUGGAACGAGCCGAGCUCGGCGAGCUUACUCGGUCAAAUUCGGCUUGAAAUUAAUUUCGAGCCUAAAUUUAAGCUCAAGCUUGGAUUAAUUAAUUCGAGCCGAGCUCGAGCGAGCCUAAUUUCGAGUCGAGCGAGCUCGAACCUAAACGAAGCCGCUUGAAAUUCUAACAUCAUACGAUAAUAGUUAAUUAUAUAGAACUUAUCUAUAUUUGAUACAAAAUAUGUCUAAUAGUUCAAAAUAUAAAAUAAUUAUAUAAAUAUAGUAUUAUAAUAUGAAGAAAAAAAUUUAUGAGUUUAUAAUUCUAAUCUUUUCAACCUCACAUGUCUUUUCUUCCGCCUUCAAUCUCCAUAUUUUCAUUUUAUUUAUGCAGUCAAAAAUAAAUAAUUUAUAUAGAUAAAUAUUGGAUUAAAUUAUCCAAUCAUAUAUAACUAAAAUUAAAAUUUUAUAUGAAUAAUAAUUUUUACUUUUAAAAAUAUUCGGGAUAUUUUUCAAGUAUACAAUUAAUAGCAAGAUAGGCAACGGCAGGCAUAUGCUGCUACUUGGAACUUGGAGGGCUUCGGCUUGGCCAAAUAGGGUGAGAGACAGAAAAGAGAAAGAGAGAACACAUUGAAAAUUUAAAGCUCUAUGAAGAAAGAAAGAAAGGAAAAAUGUAUAAAUUUAGUAAAUUUUGCUUUUUAUUUGUUAUUGGGUUUAUUUUUAUGGGCCAACAAUAUGGCCCAAUUUUAACUAAAUUCAGAUUAUUCACUCAGCUAUAGAUAAUUAAAUAUAUUAUAUUUUAUAUUAUAUAUAUUAUAUAUAUAUAUAUAUAUAUAUAUUAUAUAUAUAUAUAGUGUAGAACUACUAUGUUAUCGAAAAUAUAGAGGAUUUGAUGUUUUCGAAUUUUGACCCUUUGAUUAAGAAUUGUAUGAUUGGGAUGAUUGCGGUCCCCGUAGGAUUAAAUAAUAUCCCUAGAAUUGAGUGGUCCCUACAAUAUAAUAUAGUAUUAAUUCAAAGAAUGAUUAGUUGAUCUAAAAAUCAAAAAAUCGAAAGCAUCAGAUCCUCUAUACUUUAUGUUAUCGAAAAUAUAGAAGAUUUGAUGUUUCAUUUUUGACCUUUGAUUAAGAAUUGUAUGGUUGGGAUGAUUGCGGCCCCCUUAGGAUUAAAUAUAUUCUUAGAAUUGAGUGGUCCUACAAGAUAAUAAUAGUAUUAUUCAAAGAAAUAUAGGGUGAUCUAAAAAUUAAAAAAUGGAAAGCACCAGUUCUCUAUACUUUUGAUAGACAUAUAUAUAUAUAUAUAUAUAUAUUAUAUAUAUAUAUAUAUUAUAUAUAUUUCGAGCUUUUGAGCUUUUCGAGCCUAAUUCGAACGGCGAGUAAUACUCAAGCUCAGCUUGAAUGAAUUUCGAGCUUUUUUUUUUGUUCAAGCUCGGCUCAUUUAAUUUCGAGUCGAGCUUGAGCGAGCCAAUAUCGCAGUCGAAACGCGAGUCGAACGUUGAGCCGGCUCCGCGCAUUUGCGCGCCCUAUUAUUAUAUAUUAUAUAUAUAUAUAUAAAAUGGUAAAAUUAAUUCAUGCUCGGAUUCAAAUUGGAUACGGACAAAAUAUAUUGUUUUUAUUUAUACAGGCAAACCCUUUUUCCUUUUCUGUCAGCCCUGGCUCCCUCGGUCGAGCAGCAGCACAAUCACAGAGGGUAGGGACUAGUACCAGACUGGACUUGGGAGAUGGAAGAAGAGCUCCUGAAGCUUCCUCCGACGAUCCCGGAGGAGUCGCUGGCGCAAGUGCUGGAGUCUCUGUGGAGGACCCGCGAAACCGGGCUCGCCUCGCCCGACAAGUCCCGCAUCCAAUCCCUCCUCAACCUCCCCACGCCCCAACACCUCGGCCCCGUAACCCCCCUCUCCCCCAACCCCCCUCUCUCUCUCUCUCUAAGAAUCCCCAAUUCCUCGUGUUCUCAUUGAUUGCUUGAGAAAUGUACGGGCAUGAUCCAAAUUCGAGCAUGCGAACUUAAUAUCUUUGAUGGCUUUGAUGGCGGAGGUGCUUGUAGUGUCUUUAUGAUGUUUCUCUUUGUGCUCUUCGCUCUUUAAUGAAUGUGCAUAGGGAAUUAUAAGCCUAUAUCUUAAUUUGGAAAAAAAGAAGAAGAAGAAAAGUAGCAUAUUUUUUCACCAUCAUGCAAUCCUUUGAUAUGUUAGCUGAUGUUGGAACUUAAAAUUUUAGGUUUUAGCGUGCCUUCGCUCUAUCAUCAGGAAGUGUGUGAACGAAAAGCUCGCAGGAGAGAAUAUCCAGAAUGUAUUACCUCAUGAUCUUCCUGCGGAACUCAGAAAUGUUCUUGUCUUGCUACUUCAGAAAUAUCAGAAUCAAUGGAUGGCGGAAGCGACAAAGGACCAGGUGUUUUAUCGAGAUUAUUUUUCGGAGGUUUCUUUGCGGCGCACAAUGUUUAAAUUGUUAAUGAUUGGGUCCCAAACCUUUGUAUUCUGAUGCAAUCUAAUCAUUUUUCUUCGUGUGUCUCGGUUGAAUUGGAGAGAAAUGCGCUUGUAUUGUCUAUUGUUAAAUUAUACGAAAGUGUCGUUUUUCUCCAAAAGCUUAAGAUACUAAAUAUUCAUCACUCUCCCUCACGUCUGGGCUCGUGACUUUUUAAUAGAACCAGGAGGUGAACUUGAAUUAAACGGAAGGAAAUUAAAUAACGCUAGGACCCUGGCGGGACUCAAACUCCAGACCUGUUGUUCUUAUAUUACAUUAAAUUAUGCGAAACAACCGUUUUCCUUCAAAAGUUUAAGCUGCUAGAGAACGGUGUUUUUAAUUUUGGGGCUCUUAUAUGACAAGUAGAUGAGGUGGAAAUUUCUCUCCAAUUUUGUGGAGGAUAUAUGAUUGUGGCAAAACAUAUGGGUUUAGGACCCCAAUUGUAACAAAUUGAAAGGUCGGGGACCAUACUGGAACUUUAAGGACCAAGAAGACAUAGAAAGCAUUUCUUAGAUGAUAAUUUCUUUCUUAACAACUUACUGUACUGUUCUAUUUCAAGAAUUUUGUGUAUUCUGGUUUUCCCAGCCUCUUUGGCAGAAAACACGGGUGUCAGAUCAAGUUAAAAUCAACAGACUGCCUCCUUUUGCAUCCUCUACAGCAUCGGAACUAUCAUCGUUACUUUGGCCGAGGGAAGAUGAUGCAACCGCUUACCCUAAGAGCAGUAAUACUGCGAGCAAUGUUGUAGCCAAUCUUCCAAGCUUGUCUUCAACGCCACAUAAUCAAGAUCAUGGUUCCCUGGACGGACUGGUAAAUGAUUAAAAAAUUGAUUUAACGAUACAAGUAAUUGAUGAUCGCUUCUGUAAUUUUGUGGUUCAUGAAAAUGAACAUGAUUUGUCCUUUUUGUGUGUUUUGAUGCAGUUUGUAGUGAUAUCAGUCCGAGUAGUAUCAAUUAACAGAGUAAUUUUAUGCAGUUUGUAGUGAUAUCAGUCCGAGUAGUAUCAAUUAACAGAGUAAUUUGAUGCAGUUUGUAGUGAUAUCAGUCCGAGUAGUAUCAAUUAACAGAGUAAUCUGAACACUCGCCAGCUAUUAGUAUCACAUUGGUGGCAUUCAUUUUAUAUAAGUCUCAGUGCGGCCGCAAGUUUUUUACGAGACAAAUGUUUUGCAUAGCACAAGUAAAAAGAAACCACUAUUUUGUUAACUAUUAGAUGGUUCCUUCUGUUUUACGUAAGAAUAUAAAGAUUGCUCGUGCACCUGCCCGUCCUUCAAACAGAAGCAAAAGAAACAUGAUAUCUACUCUUUGCCAUAAACUGAAGGUUACGAAGCAAGUUUACUACUACAUAAGUUGAGUUCGUUUUUCUUUUUUCACAUACAUACACCUCGGUAAAUGAUUAUGUAUACUCUAGAUUCUACCUCUUCUAAAUGGAUGUUAUCAUUAGCCAUUGGUGCUGCAUGUGUAUUUCAAAGUUUUAUUAUGUGCAAAGUUUGUAGUUUUGAAGUGAUAUCAUUUUAUUUUAGAAAAAAAUUAACAGAUAUAUGUAGACAAACAUUUUGUUUCAGGCAACUUGCAAAAUUUAUUUCUAUGGUGUACGUUAAAAAUAAUUCCAUCUAGCAUCUGUAGGCACUUUUUGCUAACACUAAGUAGUGCAUUGUGUUUUGGGUUGAGUUAAAAAAAAAAAAACUUGUUUACAACAAAAAGUUCCACGGACAUUAAUCUCAGUAUUUCCUACAAUAAUUUAAAUAGGCACUUAGGCAGAUUCCCAAGCCUAUCAAGCUCUAUAUCAAAGCAGCCUAUAAUGGCAUGAAAUCUACUGCUGAAUCAUUUGCUAGGAACAGCUAUUUUUGUUAUACUUGGAGAAUUUAUUUAUGCUUUAUGGAAAUAAUGCAGACAACUCUUCCACGCCUCAAGUCAAUGACGUGGACCAUGGAGAAAAGAAAUUCAGCACCAGCAAAUCGCUUGGCUAUCAUUACACUGAAGGUCCUGUUCUUGUUAUCUUGAACCUUAUUCUGACUUGGGUGUACCUUAAACCCUGUUUCUUUUUUUCUUCAGUUUGAGUUUGAUAUCUUGUCAUGAUUUCAAAGAGACGCAAAUGCUUCAGAAAUCUGUGUACAUAUUGGAAAUUUUUCUGUACUCUACUAGGUGAAGAUGCUCCAUAUAGAUAUGGAAACUACGAUUAGUUUCUGGAUACGCGUAAAUGUAAGAAACAGCUCAAAUAGUUUGAUUAGGGAGGAUGAUUAAAUUCCACGGCUUGUGGCUACAAUAAAAAAAGCUUUUUGAGUGGUCCUUUCAAGAGGAAAAAAAUUUCAUUGCACCUCUUAGUGUGCCUAGCGAAUUCUUCUGUUGCUGAUUUUGACCUUGUAAUAUUUGACACGGGGUGCUUACUUUGUUCUUCUUUCUUACAUGGCUCUGUCCAUUACUUAUAAAUUGAUAGCUUGUGAAACUUGCAGGAACAACAUGGUCGUUUCCAUCUUUUGAAUAUAUCUAACUCCUUUGCCCUUGUCUUUGUAUUUGCAGCUCCAAGAUUAUUCAAAGUCUUCCUCUGGGGAAAUAGAGGUGAAGUUUCAGCUUUCGAAAGACUCACUCGAAGCUAUGUUAAGAUCGAUGACACAUCUCACCGAACUGCUCUCGAAUUCUGUAUGACCUUAACUCAAUCUUAGAACAUCAUUUUAUUUUGAUGAAACUAUAUUUUAUCUUAUGUUUAUUCUUGUAAGUCAUUUAUUUUUUAUUUUUUAUUAAAGUAGAAGAUGAAGUGCCUUUACAUGGUUGAACUUCUGCUGAUUUCCUACAAAAGAAGCUUCAAGUUUCUUGCUAUCAGGGACAGUGCAAUUUGUUCUUAGCGAGAAAUUUUACUUUUGCAUUAUAUCAUCAACAUGUGCUCCAUUAGACUGCUGCUCUAUUUAAAAGAAAAGGAGAUUUGAAGAUUGAAAGUUUAGACACUCGUUUAGUGCACACUACAGCGGUAAAACUAUUAGGAUCAAGUUGAAAACUUGAAGUAGGUUCCUUUACUUGCCCCUCAAAUUUGUUAUACUUAGAUGGAAUAGGUUCAUGAAGCUCUGCCCCUUGGGCAACCUUUAUUUUCUUUUCAAGUUGCACUAAGAAAUCCCAUAUAAAAUACGUUGCCAUCCAUCCACAUGUAUUAAUUGUCUCCAGAUAAUUUAAUGCAAAUUCAAUGUGAUUUGCGACAUUUCCAUAUAUAAAAGUAAAUAUAAGGUUGUUUAUUUGUUUGACAUCUAACGGGACAAAAAUAGUGCAAAUUCACCCAGAUUUAUUUUUAUUUUACAAGCUCUGUACAUUUUAAGAUUUUGAAUUUUCUUUUUAUGACCUUGCUAUUUGCUGGUAGGCCGCAUCACCAUUGGAACCAUCGGCAAAGAAGCAGAAACAGUGACUGAAUGCUGGACUGUUCAUCCUUCGGGAUCUUGACGGUUCUUUCUAUCACCGAAACAAUACUUUCAUUUUUUGAAAGAAGAAUCGAGAAUUAAACAUCCUGACCAAUGUCGACAGCACUAUGAAAACUAGCUAGGAUUUUGUAUUUGGUUCAUUAGAUGACUUAGCUGCUGCAAAGCAAGAUCAUAAUGCUUUAAGGAUGUGCUUGUUAAGAUCACACCAUUGUAACAUCUGAAAUAUUUUCUGGGUUCCAAUUAAAAUAAUUUCUUUCUGAAAAUCCUUUGGUUUCUUUGGCUUGUUGGACUUUUUUUUUUUUUUUUUUUUUUUUUUUGUUUUUGGGCUCGAGCUAUAUCAAGCCUGUUUUGUGCAUGAAUUGCAGAUGGAUGGAUUACAGAUAAGUACUCCAAAACUUUCCCUGAUGAAUAAUCUGUCAUUAACUGAACAUGCUGAGACAUUUUUGUUAACUUCAUGCUCCUUUCAGGUAAAAAGGCAACCGAAAAAUUACCAACUCCUUUUUGAAUACAAUAUACAUUGGUCCUCUUCCUACAGUAAAUUUCUGGAUUAGAAACUUGAAAAUUAAUUGAUGUAGCACUGCUGUGCAUAGUGCUUUAUAACAUAAAAGUAGCAUUAAAGAUUUGUAACGUAUCUUCGAUUCGUGCAGUCUUAUAUAUGAGAGCUUCCUACAUUACUCUUAGCUCUCAGAACCAAGACACAGGCUAAGUUUCUCAUAAUUAUCAUUUUUCAGCUGAGAUAAAAGGAUUGCAGAGAAUGAGCGAGCUAAAUUGGUCGCAGGGACGACAGGACAACAUCCUGAAGAGAGCUAUCUCUCAGCAUGGCGGCUUUGAACUCGUCGAAGGUGACCUUCCCAUCAUUGUUUGCGUCCAUCUGAUCGAAUAUCUCAUCCAGCUUUCCUGGCUCAGUUAUAUCAGCCGGAAGACAAUCCUCGGGCAACGCCUGCAACAUACAUCACCGUUUUGCUUGAUUUAAUAGAAAUUUUGGAGUAUGUUGUAGAGAAAGGAUAAAAGAAAUAGUGGGGAAAGUUUACUCGAAGCAUCGACGCCAAUUCUUCCUUACUGAUGGACCCUGAUCUGUCCGUGUCAUACAUCUGAGCACAUAAUGAGGGGUCAGAUACAUCGGAAAAAAGCUGAACAAGCAUGGAUUGCUCUAGAACAAUCUUAUUUAGGGGUAAAUUAUAUGGAUAGUGCCUCUCUAUCCCAAUAUAAUGACUUAGUUCGUGAACUUUCCAUUUAAAUACUUUUAAGUUCUGGAACUGCUUUAUGUAUAGCAAUUUCAUAAUUGGCCACUAAAGGAAAAAAAAAAAAAGGAAAAAGAAAAGGAAAAACAUGAUUUUAACGGUUAGGAAUGAAAUUGCAAUAUAUGAGAAGGUUCAGGGACUAAAAAAUUUUUAAGUAAAAGGUUCUGGUACUAGCUCGCCAUAUACGGAUAGUAUUGGGAUAAUCCAUGCACCUAAUCCUUAAUGACUACAAAAUAAAUAUUACUUGUAGUAAGUUUCAUAGCUUUCAUUUUAUUCAUGGCUUAGCAUGGACUGAAUCACUGAAUCAUUUUUGUGUCCCACAGGUUCUCUCCUGAACCAUUUUCUACCGACCUCCUUGAAUCAAAAUCAAAUGCAAGGAGAAAAAGAAUAUUAAUCCGAGCUGACCUGAAAGCAGAGUUGGAGAGCGUCAUCUCCUCGCGAAUUUCUGAGACUGGAUAGCCCACACAGAAUCUCCCUCAUGUCCACGGUUCCAUCGCGGUUGUUGUCAAAUAAAUCAAACACGCGAGGAGCCAGAGGAAUAAGUGAAUCCAUUUUCAUUGCUUUCAGUACUUGCUCAAACUCGCUCAGUGUAGCAUUCUCCCCGUUCGAACAUCUGCACUUGGGAGUAUUCAGUUUUCUGAAUCUGGACAGAUUCUUUAUUGACUACAUAAGCUUUCUCUAGCUCAUUAUUAUAGUGUUCUAGUAGUUGAAAGACUCACAUUCGUCUGAAGUGCAACCGCAGUUUCUCUAGUUCCUCUUGUGUGAGAUCAUGGGAUCCAAGCAAACUCUUCAAUUUCCUUGUUCUCAGUGUGACCUUGCUGCUCAACACACUGGCUAUCGCAGCUGCGCGCAGUUUUCUCCGCGCGUUGAAGCUUUGCAGUUUGGAAACGACCUCUGCAUCCAUGAGAUCUUGCUUUGCCGAGUCUCCUAUCACCCAAGGAUGCUUUAGAAGCUGUUUCCAUACAAAGUUAUAGAACUAUCAAACUUCGGCACUAGUUUAAAGAAAAGGUAUUUCCAGAUAUAUCCUUGCAGAAUUUUCUCUUACAUAACAAUCCCUGCAAAAACUGAAUUUUGAUAUUUGUUUUUCAAAAAACUCGAUUUCCUAUACAUGUAUACCCUUGUACUUACUAAAGUCGCAUUCUUUAUAAAGCUAUUUCCAAUCGAAGACCAACUUUCGCCAUGACUUGGAUGAUUCUCCAGGUUACUGUAGUGAUAUUUUUGUAAUGGGUAUACAGUGAAAAUCAUAUUUAGGACAUACAUACAAAUAACAGAAGAAAGUGCAAAACAUACAUCAUCAGCUGUCGGUCUUUUAUACGGCUCGACAGACAGAAGGCUGGAAAUCAAGUCCUUUGCAGAUGAAGUUACAGUCUUCCAUGUUUGAUCCUCAAAGCUGUAUUCACCCUGGAGAGGAAGAAUGUCUCAAGUGAGUUUGGAAAUCCGGAAUCAUAGUGAGCACAUUCCAGUAUGAAGACAAGUGUGUUAUGUUAUACCGAAGCGAAUUUAAGUGGAAUAGCAUAUUUGGUUUGCGAGAUAUCACAUCCAGUAAUUGUAUAAUUUGUACUCUGAUACCAUCUAUCAAUGAUUCCUAUAUAUGUGGCUUGUGAAUUGAAUUCGGCCUGGUACAACAUUGACUUUGUUUUCUCAUUGCCUCAAAUAACUCUCUCAUUUUUCUUGUUAAACCAAUUAUUACCUUAGUAGUGUGUUACAUUUAUGAAAUUCUUUUCUAGAAAUCCCAUGUCUCAAGGAAAUAUAAGAGCUGAAUCCUUUUCUUUCUGAAGCACUGGACACAAUAUCAGGGCCUAUUUCGAUAGCACGCCGAAUGCUGUUUUACAAUUCCUUACAGUUGGUAGUGCUUGGCUGCUCAAAGGAAAGAUUGAUAGAAGAACAAUAAUUGAUUUAUGUCAAUCCAUAAACAGCUAAAACUGCAGUAACUUAAGCUUCUUAGUAGGUAAAAGCCUUUUCUCUGUUACAUUGUAAGUUGAACUAUGACCAACAGAAUGGACUCAGAAAAUGCCAGAUGAAGAACUACUGAUGAACUUACAGCUAAAAUCCUCUGCUGCUUGUCCCGAUUUGUCGGUGCAUGAAAUGGAGGGCACCUGAAACAUUAAUGAGGAAACAAGAAUGAAAAGUUGAAAGAGGCAGCAGCAGCACUCCAAGAAAACUAACUGCAGAACCACAGCAUUACCCAGAUAGAAGGAUGUAAAGAAUCACCCCAAGAGACCACAUAUCACUCGCAGACGACACCUCGCGCCGCGACAGAGCUUCAGGCGAGACGUAAUCAAUCGAUCCAAACAACGCAACAAUCGGAUCGGUGAAAUCCUCUACCGAACUCAGCCCAAAGUCCAUGAUCUUAAGAGGAGAGCGCGAUCCGCUGUCCGAGAACAAGCAAUUCUCGGGCUUUAGAUCGCGAUGAACGAUGUUUGCUCUAUGAAGAGCCGCGAGGCCAUUCGCAAUUUGGUGGACUACCACCGCAGCUUCGAACUCCGAGUAGCGCGGUUGAGCGACUAUCCGGUCGAAGAGCUCCCCGCCGGAGCAAAGCUCCAGCACGAGGUGAACUCCGCUGCCGUCUUCAUAGACAUCAUAGAGGUUGAUCACAUUAGGAUGAGGGGAAACAUUCUCUACAAUCUUCCUCAUGACCAGGAUUUCAUUCGUCAGCAAGGCGUCGGAUAUCGAGACUUGCUUCCACAUGUUCAGUGCCGCAGCAGCCGCGAUGCCCUUCUGAACUCCCGGCGGUGCGAAUCCGAAUCUGCGCAGGGUUUUAAUGGCAACAUCAGUCUUCUGCUCACCAGAUUUGCUGAAACCUCUUCUGACAACAGAGAAGCCGCCUCGGCCGAGAAUGUCAGAGACUUCAUAAUCAUCAGACAGCUUUCUAAUCCCCUGCCUCGACAUUUACUACUCGAAUAUCUGGCGCUGAAUAUUAAUCAAAUGCAAUCGAAAAUUAGAUUACAGUAGUAGAACAAAAAUUCAUCUGUCUCCUCAACUAAUUAAGACCCCAAAUGCUUUGCAAAAUUGAUGAGGAGGACACAGCAAUGAUUGGGCCCAGAAGAGACAAAUGCCAAAGUACAAGUAGAAACUGAUAUUGGGGAAGGAGUAAUAAGGAAUAUAAGAAAAAAAUAUGUAUAUAUAUAUAAAUAUAAAAAUACCCAUUGGCAAUUGUUGGAUUGUUUAAGAACAAAAUAUGGAGGGUAGAGAAAGGGAGGCAAAUGGGGGAUUAAAGAAAUGGAGAAAUUGGGGGAGGGUUUGGUGGAGUUAGUGCCUGUUUGUUUUCUUUUAAAAGAGAUGCCAGAGUAAUGGAUUAACUCGUAACUUCGAAAAAGUUGCAACAUUUGUUUCAACACCAAAAUCACAAAAUCAUUCAAACUUUUUUUAACAAAUGGGCUUAAUAAAUUUAUAUUUGCAUCAAUAGUCUCUUCUUAUCAUACGAGCACUUAGGUGGUGUUUUUAAAUGAAAUACUACACGGUGACGUGUUCUUUUCUAUAUUUUUUAUUCUCUCUAAAUAAAAAAAAAAAAGUUAAAAUAUGGAUAUAAACACAAUGAUACAAUCAUCGUGUUUAACUUAAAAUUGUCAAUUUUAUAGAUGUAUAAAAGGUAUUGGUCAAAUUUUAUAAAAGUUAACUACAAGAGGACAAUUUAUUUGUAAUAUAUCGAUUGGCGAUGACAUUAGUUUGGCUGCCGAAGGCAUUUCAUUAACUUUAAUGAUGGAGUGAAAACACAAAAAUACAAAAUUAAUUAGAAAAAAAUAAAUCGAAUGAAAUAAAAAAUUUCUAUCUGAUAUAUUUUCAAAUUUUGGUUCAAUUUGAUUUUUUUUGGUUUUAAUAAAUAUUAAUUUACCCAAUUUCAUUUAACAAGUUGAUUUCUUUUGUGGACUCUGUAAAUCAAGUAAUAUAUUAUUGUUAGAUAUUUGAUUUGAUGUAGUCACAUUCAUAAAUCAUAACCAUAUAUAUACAUCUAAUCAUAUAUAUCAGAAAGUGAGACAUAUCUACGUACAUACAUUACAUUACAUAUAUACAGAGUUGAGCUGAAAUACUAUCAGUAGCAAAUGGACUCCGUUGCCACCAAUUUAUUUUUGAUAAUGGAGCCUCCAAAUCGUCGAUCGGUAUCGUUGAACAUGAUCUAUAUCAUUUGAAAUAUCUAAAAAUCAAAUUUUAUGCUUUUCCGAUAUUAUUUUUUUGUCCAUCAAGUGGACACAAAAUGAACGGCUAAAAAUGAAUAUUCUUUAAAAAAUGAUGAUAGGAAUCUUGUAAUCAAGAUGGAGAAUAUAGAUCUUGUUCUAAAUAGUUUAAAGAAUUUUCUAGCCAAAAUUAAAUCGAUUUGAAUAUCUUUAAAAUGUUAAAUGAAAAAACGCCUCAUAUCGAUCAUUAAAAUUACAAAAUUUGAAACUCUUUGAUCAUUAGGUCAAUGAUGUCAAAAAGAUAUAAAAUUUAAUUUCUAAAUAUUUUAAGUGGUAUAGAUCAUGUUCAAUGAUACCAAUCAUUGAUUUGGAGGCUCCAUCAUCGAAAAUAAAUAGAUAGCAACGAGACUCGUUCAAUCGUUUGCUACUAAUAGUAUUCUAACUUAACUUCAUAUAUAUAUAUAUAUAUAUAGAGAGAGAGAGAGAGAGAGAGAGAGAGUUAAAGUCAUACUUUGAUUUCAUAAUUUAAAUUAAUUACCUUAAUUAAUUUUUAUAGUUACAAAAAUAAAAUAAAAUAUAUACUAAUUAAACCUAUAAAGGUCGACACAUUCAAACAUUAAAAUUUAAAUAGCCUUUGACUCACUUAAAUCAAAUAAAUUAAUAGAUUAAAUAACAAAAUCAAAAUUUUUAAAAUUUGGUUAGCUAAGUAAAAAUGAUAUACAUAAUUUAGAUAAAUUGUAUACAUUUUUACAAUAAAUUAAAUUAGUUUUAAUAAAAAAUAAAAAAAUUAUUAAAAUAUUAUAAAUUGUGAACCACAUGACCUCUUAAUGGUAGAGAGGAAUGUCAUAUAGCUCCAAAAAUGAAUAUAAACAUUCAAAAUAUAAAUAGGCUAAAUAUUUCAAUAAGCAAAAAUAAACCUUCUUACACAAAAAACUUUGGUGCAAAAUAAGUUUGUCAUUGAAUAUUUUAUUUCAACAUCCAUGCUUCCAAGCCUUAAUCUGAGCAAUUACUAACAAGGCAACCAAACAUAGCAGUGAUAACCCUUAGAAUCAAACACUCUUUUUUCGAGAAAACAUAAAAAACUAUUUUCCACACAAAAAAAAAAAAAAUCAUAAAAACAACACUUCUUUCACACUUUUUAUUUUCCGAACAGCAAAUUCCUAAAACAAAAACAUUACUUUUCAUAAAUUUUGAAAGAAAAAAAUUUCUACAAAUACUACUUUUCUUAAAAACCAAGUGGCCGAAAAAUACUUAGCAGACUACGGAAAGCUUAUUUAGAAAGCACAAAUCAUCUUAAAAAGCAGUAAUCUCAGAUUUAACUAACUUAGGCUUCCCUUUCAGGUGGUGUGGUUCCUCCACUAGCUAUUUGGAGAGUACAGAACAAGUUCGUCGAUUAAGAAACACCGAAUUUACGAAUAAAAACAACAAACACCUAAUAAAAGAGCACAUUGAUAUGAUAACCACAACAAAACGUCUACAACUGAAACUGUUGUCUUAAAACAGCAGUUCUGCCUCAAAAUUCUGCAGACAAAUACAAAAACCAGUAGCCAAGCAUACGAAUGAAUCUAGGCACAAACAACAUGCUAAAGUUCUUUGCUCACUGCUCACCAGGGAUGCUCUUGAGGAUGUCCGAGUCACCUGAAUGAUACAUUACACGACAGUAAGCCAUUAUCAUUCAGAUCGAGAUUAAUCUCGAUAUUGAUAUCGGGAUCGAUGUAUAUAUGUAGAAAAGAGGGAGAGAGCAAAACCGGGGUCAAUAAUGCUGAGGCAGCAAACGCGGAAAUAUUUGCCACAAGCUGUUCCCAGAUCAACAUUGUCUGACCGACAAAACCAACAAAUUAACAAUUAACCAUAAACGGUGCGGCCUAAAAUGGAGGUGAUGUCGAAUUAAGAUAGGUACGAAGAUACAUAACUUAACCUAAACUGUGAACCAUUUUGAGUUGGCUACCCAACCAUUCAAAAUCUUAAUUUUCCUAUCCAACCUUUCAAUUUGUUUGAUUUGAGGCAUUUUGACUUCAAAUUUUGAAUGUGUUAUUUAUCUACUUCAUGCAAUUCUCGCAACUGUAAAUAAAUUAUAGUAAGUAAUUAGCUUAAACUUUAAAGUCAAAGUAUCGUUGACUGACUCACAUCAAACAAACUAAAAAGUUGGGUAGUAAAAUAAAAAUUUUGGAACGUUAGGUAGCCGAUUCAAAAUGGUCCAUAAUUCAAGUGGGUUCUGUACAUCUUUACCUCUUAGAUAAAAUGAGUACUACUACACACAAAUUUGCAAUUCCAAUACUUGUAUCUCAUUAAAAGAAAGAUUGGCAGUCAAUUUGAUGGAGAACAAACCAUAACUUUCAAUCAACAAAAAAACAAAGGAAGAAAAGAAAAAUGAAAGAGCGUGCUACGAACAACUAUAUCAAAAUGACAAAAAUCAACCAAAUAUAGUUAUAUAAGGAGAAAAUGAUAAGAUGCAUUAUAUGAGCUUAUCCACCUUCAUGAGUGAGCAAAGAUAGAAUGAAUACUUACUUCCAUUGAAGUGAUGUACGCCGACCUUCGCUAACAUUGCAUAGUACUCUAUCUCAGACUUUCGGAGUGGAGGGCAGUUGUUUGCAAUAAUUACCAAUUUCCCUGAAGAUAAUAGACACAAAUAAUUUUAACGAAGUUAAAAUUUAAAAAAUAUUGCAAAUAGUCUUCCCAAAAUGACUCUCUAACAAAACAAUCCAGUGGAAUAGAGUAAAGCACAUUAUGAAGACAUCAUUACCAUUAACUGACAACAAGUUGACAAGCUUAAGAAUUUUCAAAAUAUCCAACAAGUCAAAAAUACUAUGAGAAGCAUUGUAUUCAAAAUGGAAAACACUAACAUCAAACUUUAUGGAAAUGUGAGGGAUCUACUUUGCAAGGAAAGAUGAAUUUGAAUAAUAAAGGGGUAAGUCUUGGGGAGGUGCUGAAACCAAAAUCGGAUGUUUUCAUUUAUCCUGGUCAGACUUGGAUGUUUAGUUUAUACUGGCGCCACCAGAAACUCAGAUUAGAACCAAAUAGCUCAAUAUGAGUCAAAAUAGCCCACAAUAACGGCCGGUCUCAAGUACUAGCCAAAAUUGCCUAGCAGGAAAAGAAAUUACAAAAUUAAAAAAAUGCCAAAGAUCGUAUUUCUCUUCAUGCUUAAGGUCAAGGAAGGUCUUCACACUCUGAAUGCAGAGUUUUAAGUAGAAUAAGUCAAAACCUUUGCACCAAUUCGCAAAUUUUAUCAUACAUAUGGCAACUAAGAGGAAAAUAAUUUUUAUAAUUUUUAUUUUGUUAAUUUAACUUACAUUAUAAGAGCAGACAAUAAUAAGAACCUCAGGAAGUGUUUGAUAUUCACAUAAAGACAGUCUAACAUUACUUUGAUAAUCAGAGUAUUGACCCAGAGUAUACGACUUUUUCUGGCAAUAUGCCAGAACAAUCCAAGUAAUCUAUAUGACAACUCUUUGUACUCCUCUCCUCUCUUUUAAUGCACCUCUAUAGCAAUCAAAACCAAUUACAAAGAGAUUAACAGUGCUAUAAAACAAAUUUUGCUCAAUGUAAGCUGCAAUUAACUCAUGGCAUGUUGUGAUUUAUUAACCUAGGGAUGAACACAGUGACUGACAACAACAGUCAUACACUGUAAAAAAAGAUGUGGUUGUGAAAAAUCUAUCAAAUGGAUAACUGUGGAUCCCAAUCAUCGCAUACAAUUAGACACCAAGCAAACAACCUGCAGGCAAGUACAGAUACUGCAGCACUUCUUCCAAAAGAAAUAUUUUCCCUAUAUCCAAAAGUUAAGUGCCAUCAUUUAAGUGCACUACAGUCAUACUAUGCCAAAUCUCAAUUAUUGAUUAGCAUUUCUGUUAAGAACACGUCUCGAAAAAAUAAUUUAAUCAGUUAACUUAUGCGAUCAGAAAAUAUGUUGACAUAUUGUAACUUCCAUUUUCUUAAGCCUUCCACAAGCUGCAUCACGAGUAAUACCAUGCUCGCUCCCGGCGGCAGAUGUGAGUGCAAGCUGGAUGAUGGGAGCUAAAUAAUCAAGAGAUUUACAAAUCACGGGGAGAUGGAUCCUGCACAUUGCCCAAAGAAACCAAUCACUUCAAUCCAGAUUCUAAUCCAUGGAGUGGGCAUUGUGUUAUUCUUACUUCAUGUGUCAUCCACCAAACAUUACCCUAGAGAAAUAAAGAAUCUCUAGAUGAAUUACGGAGGUAGGUACGUUUAUAUAGGGAGCUGCAUUCAUCCCUAUGGCGUGAAAGAAAUAGCCAAAGAACCAAACUCCAGUCCCAACUACAAAGAAUCUUCUUGCAUUAAAAAUUUUCCGAAGAGAACUAGUAAGGCCUAAUUUAGGAUUUCUUUAAAGACCCCCCCAAAAAAAAUCCAACGCCACUUCUGAUCUCUGCUUAUCCCAUUCUGUGACAAGACGGCAGAAACCCCGACAGGACAUGCUUCUCUAGCAGGUGUUUCCGCCACCAUUUCAUAUCAUAUGCAAGUGGAAAUCUAAGGAGCUUUCAGGUUUUUUACGAUUCUAAAGCAUGAAAGCGCCAACAUUUCCAAGAGAUGCAAUCUUAAACAAGGCCACAAUAAUGCUCCAAACUCAAUCUCUCAACACGAAGCCCGUUUCCCCACAACUACACAUUGGAAUCAUCCCAAACAAUAAAUCCAUAAAACAACGUACAUCAACCAAACCCGAUCUACUGUUUCAAUCCCAUUUAUCCACAAUACACCAACCCACAUCAAUUUAGCAUAGAUAACACGAUUAGAAUGAUCCAACAGAAAAAGAAAAGAAGAAGAGAUAUAUCAAAAACCUUUGGAAGUACGGAGGGAUCUAAGGACCGUCUUGUACCCAAGCGUAUACUUCCCACUCUUCAUCACCAGGGCGAGCCUGUUGUUGAUGCUCUCGGUGCUCUUCUUCUACAUUUCGAUCAAAAAGCAACCAUUUUCACACCAAAAAAUCACCAAAAAAUGCUAGAGACGAAAUCAACGGAGCCAUGAUCGAUCCAAAUUUGGUUUUAAUGGUAGAAGAUGAUCGAUUAUUACCGUCUUCUUCACGGGCGCCAUUGGAGAAGCUCCGAGCAGAGGAGGCGGCGGCGAGAGGAGAUAGAAACCCUAGAGAAGUCCCAAAGAGCGUCAGCAAAUGGAAAACCCUCAUAAUAUAUAGAAAAUGGGCAACGAGGCAUAAUUACGAAAUUGCCCCUCUUCGAAUCAGUUGAUCCGGCGCGUUUGGUACUUGUCCAACGGCUACUGAUCAUCACUAGAAAGGUAAAAAUGUAUCAAGGCCCCUCAGAAAUAUACCAUUUCGAAACCAAGCCCAAAAUUUUAUUUUUUAUUUUAGUUCUGUAUUAGAUUUGUCACAGUUUCCAUUAUAUUUUAUAACUCUAAUUUUUCUAAACAUAAAAAAUCUCCUAUAUUACAUGCAUGCUAAAAAGUAUUGUAUAAUUAGUAGCUCGUAGUUGAUUGUAUUUUCUCAGCAAGUAUCUUAUAAAUUGUCAAACUAAUCGGAAAAGCAUUUGGACAUUUGAUCGUGCGGCAUUUCUAAUACUUUUUUUAAAUUCGUCUACACUUAGUGACAUAGUUAUUUUUCUCAUCUUUAAAGAAUUAGUACUUUUUCAGAAGAUUAUAAACUCAUUUAAGUUUAUGGUAUUUAUAAAAAAAAUUCUCGAAGUUUUCAAAAAAUUGAUCAUAUAUGCUCUAGCAAAGUUUCUUAUUUUUCAAUUUACUCUCCUUCACCUAAAAUUCAAAUUCAUCACACAAUCUGUUGAAAGCAAUCUGUGCAACAUCCACCUCGCUUGGAUGCUAUGUCCUCUUUAGAAAUUCAUCGCUUGAAUGCUAUGUCCUCUUUAGAAAUUUCUACAUCAUAGAGUCUCUUUUAGUAUUAGCAAUCAUUUGAUAUUUUGGAGUAGAAAUGGUAAAUUUUUUAUAAUGGGUAAUAUCAUAUGGUAUAGUUACUUGGCCUAUUUGUUGUAGAGAAAGGGACGGAGAAGAAGGAGAGUAGAAAAGAAAAAUGAGAGAAAAAAGGAGAGCAUAGUAAUAAUACACAAUGAUAGUUAUAAAUCGCAUUAUAAAUAAACGGUGUUGAAAAAGUUAAGCUCUAGUAUGGAGAUAAGAAAGGAGAAUCUCGAAAAAGAGACGAAACUAGGAUAUCAUGAUUGUGACUUAAUGAAAUGAUGGUAAUAAGAUAACUCGAAGAACCGAGAGAGAAGAGAUAGAAUGAAAAUAUAACUACAAUAAUGAGGUGAGAGAGAUUGAAUGGCAAAUUGAAAAGAGGAAGGAGAUGGAAUGAACAAGUAAUGAUAUUUAGUCAGGUGGACAUAUCUUCGUCAAAUUAAGAAAGAGUUUCAAUCGAUUAAGAAUUCACAUAUAAUUUAUGUGAAUAAAUAGUGAAACACCGUUACAUGACAAUACCGUAAUUUCACAUUUUCUUUGAAAUUGCUAUUAAAGAAAUAAAAAAUAUAUUUAAUUUUAACUUCUAAAUAUACUUAGGAUAGAAAGAUCUAUAAAAUAUAAACAAAUCAAUUUACUAUUAGGAAUCAAUUUGUUAGGUUUCCCAACCACCUUUCUCUGUAGCUUGGUAUGCAAAGAUUUUUUGUAUAUCUACUAACCGUUCCACUCAUUCGAAAUGCAAACCUCUAUCUCUAUUAUAUGGGAUGAUCUAACUAUUAACAUAAGAGCAAAACUCAAUAGAGAUAAAUUUUACUUUUCAAUAGAGAGUUGAUCUAAAAUAACAUAUAUAUCUAAUAUAUUCUUUUGAAAAUGUGCUCCCAUAAAUUAGCGAACAUACCAACUAAAUUACAAAGAAAAAGUUUCAAACCCUAGCUCAUCAAGAGAAAGUUUUAAACCCUAACUCAUCAACCGUAUUGAAUUUAUGUAAAAUAUAAAACAGUUCUAUAUAUUGCUUGAAGCUUUUAGAGUAAACAGUUGUUUCCAAUGAUAUACAAUUAGGAUGUUGAAAAUCCGCUCAGAGGUAAGAAAGAGUGUUAAAUACAAAAUAACUCUAUUAGCUUUAGCUUUUGUGAAACUCUAUUCAAACAGCCUUCAUCAACAACAAGACGGAUUUUGGUUUAAAAGCUUGCAUAAAUCAUUCAUAUCCAGAAUAUCCACAAUCCAUGCUUCUUACUCUCAAAAACUGAAAAGCUUUAUACAAUGAUUGCGAAAGACUAAAGAAGCAUUGAACACUAGAUUGGAUAAUGGUUCUACACACUGGUGAACACCCAAAAAUUGAUGCAAACACAGCAUAAAUCCAAACUGUUGAUACAUAUGGUGAUUCCAUUUUGCCCAAAAGAUGAAGCAGCCAAAAGGAAGCUAUAGAAUACCUAACAAUAAUAUAAGGAAGUUAAAAAAAGCUAGUAAGUGAACUAGCAAAUUCUAAGGUUAGCGCUUCCUUCGAUUAGAAGACCUUAGCGGUUGCGAUGGACAAACUGACGAAGUGUCUUGGGUCGCGUUUUCCACCGCCUCGUUUUUACAGCUUCUCAGCCUCUUCUUUGACAAAGAAGUAGAAGCUCCUCCUUGGCUUUUGGAUCCUUCCACUGCUUCAGCUUUUACAGAACUUCUCAGUCUCCUCCUUGUAGUGGGAUUAGGAGAAGCCGCCGGAUCUUCUUCGGGUUCGUUCGCAUCAUUUUCUUCUUCUUCGCACUCCAACUGGGGCCAUUCGGCGCCGCAACCCGGACAGGCUCUUGAACCCUAGGUUAGAGUUUUUUAAGAAACAAGUUUGUGUGAUUGAUGAGUGAUAUGAGAGAAAAGAAGGGAAUUACGAUAAGAGUUUUGUCAGUUACAAAAAAUGAUGAAUGAGAAAUGAGAUGGGAAGGAAUGUCCUGUGCUACCUUCCGCCGAGAAAAUUUCUGCUUUAAACAGUAAUCAUGGAUUCGAAUAUUGCAACCUUCAUUUGGACAUGUAGAGGCCUGUUUGACAAGCAAAGGUCAACACGGCAGUAAGGAUAACAGCAGAACACAUUGUAGUUCAAGCAUUUAUAGAACAUGGCACUCGCUUAAACAUGAUUCAAAUUUAAAUAGGCUCCACAAAGAAAAUGGAUCCAACAUCAAACCGUCUAGAUAUCGGCUAGUAAUUCCGCAGAACAGCAAAUUUAUUUCAUAAAAGUUAUCCACCUCUGUGUCACAGGUUGGCUCGCUCAAUAGAGCAACUCUCCAAAAUUCCCCUACACAUUCCAAUAAUUUUAGACAGGAGGAAGAUGUUUGUUCUUAUAACUUUUUAAGGAAGAUAGCACCACAUCAACAAUGGAGAUUUCGAAAUUUUUUAUUUCCCCUCCAUUAAAAUAAGUGUAUGAUUUAUAUAUAACCAUCCUUGUAAUAAUUGAUCGAGGUCAUAGCUGGUCAAUUUCUACCUACGAACCCCAGAAUUCAAGCUAUGAAGCAAUGUCCUCAUAAAUUCCAAAUUUCCACCUUUUAGUGUAAAAAAUCAGCGAAUGCAGCAAGUAGGUAGCUGCCUAGGGGGAAAAAAAAAAAUCAAGAACACAGACAUGAUCCAUAUUUUACUUGUGACUACUAGACUUGUUCCGACCAACCCCACGUUUUAACACAAGUAUCAACUUUUGGAACCAAGUGUGGGAAGGAAAAAGAUAAAUACUGAUUUGGCCUUUAAAAUCAGAAAGUGAGGAACUAAAUAAUAAUAUAAACAUGGUUUUUAAGCGCCACCUGUUGUUCAGGAGCCGGGGUAAAGAGAAUAACCAAUUCAUAGAAUGGCAAUUAACGACGGAGAGAGUAUAGAUACCUUAACACCUGCUUCAUUGCAGACAUUGCAAGAAGGGACAUCAUUGCUGCGGAACCAACUUCGAAGAUCAAGGAAAGAUCUUACGCCAAGACCAAUUUUCCCACUAGAGGUGUACGAUAGCCAUCGGUCUUGUAUGAGAUCAUUGAGAGUUUUCUCCUUUUGAGACAUUGUAAAGUUCCUAAAUGCAGGAGGAAUGCGAGAUUGACUAUCCUGUGAACUCUGCCCAGCAGGAACCUGAAAGUUUGAAACCAGAUCCAUUGAAUUCAAGGAGAAUGGAACAAAAAUACUCCAACACAAAAUGAACUAACAGAAAGAACUAUAUAACAAGCAAUUAGGAUAAGCUACAAAGUGAUUUGUUGUCAACAUGAAACUAGAUAACUCCUGUAGGACCAUACUAUAACAAGAAAAAGCUAGAGGGUUUAACAUGUAAAUUGUGAGAAAGGCUUUAGUGGCAAGUUAAACAGCUGCCGAUAAACCAAAUAGAAAAAGAAAAAUAGUAGAAAACCAUAUGGUGUGCUUAAGUGGUACGUCACAAGGAUGACAAAACAAAUUGUCAAUAUGGAACUUGCAGACUUUGAAGUGUCUUAGAUUACAAAUGUUUCCUUUCGUUUGAGGAUUAGCAUUCAGCUGAGAUAUCAGUUGCAUAUUACCAAGACAAGCUUUCGUUCCCAUGCAAAUAUCGAAAUCACCUCAAAGAUCUUUUCCCUGAAUAUAAGGUUGUGACUUUCUUCCUAAUUCUAGUGUGAUCGAACAGCUUGUCAAUGAUAAAUCAUAGCCCAUAGAUGGUCACCAUAGAAGAUUAGCAGCUAAACCCAUAGUCCUGUAUAAAAAGAUACAAGCUAUCCUUUGUAAACAAAUUUCCUACCAGCUCUCAACCUUAUGUCAAUGCAUCAAAGUUUGAUAUUCUUAAUAGGAUUCAACAACUUUUCACUCAAUCAUUGCAGGGUUUGGCAUGGAUUGCACAAUGCUGUGUGUAAUGCCACCAGGCAUCCACAGAGGAUGCACAGUCCAAAUCUACAUCUUCCACCUGCAAAACUUUCUUAGUGGAUUUGAUCUUUUGUAGGAUUUGACUCAAAGAUGAGAGCUCAAAGAAAGGUGCUUAAAGAAGAGAAGGAGGGGGGGGGNGGGCGGGGGCGGUUUCUCCUAGUCGAAUUGGUAACCAGACAAUUAUUAUCAUACCAUUUUUAGUUAUCCCUCCCUUGCGUUGUUAUGUAUACUGAACCAUAUUGAAUCCAACUCUAUCUAAACAGGACCUUCGAACACCCUUAUAAGUCUCUGCAUUUUGGGUAUCCCGACCUUUUAUCUCUCACUAUAUUGCACUCCUAACUAUUUUCACUAUACAAUAAUAAUCAGAUGCAGUAGGGAACAACACCAGAUCCAAAGCCAUAACAAAGUGAGUAGAAGAAACUACUUGGCCAUUACCUAUAUCAAACUGACCUAGACACCAGAUAUUCGUUCCAUUUUUGGUAUACACAUAUGUUAUGUAUAUCACUGGAACAAUUGCAGAAAAGGUAAAGUCUGCAAAGAAACUGCACCAACAGGAAUAAGGAAAUAAAUUCAGCAAAUCUAAACCUCAAUCCGCCUUACUUGUCAAAUACUUUGUAAAAAAAAAGCAAAAAAGGGAGGAAAAAAAAAGCACCCAAAAUUGCAGAGCUUAGUAGGUAUACAGAAAAAGUAAAAUUAUUUAUAGGUAAGGUAUAGGAAAGCAUCUUUCUAGAAGAGGAACUUCAAUCACUAACCUGAUUCUCAAGCCGGAUGUUAAGAGCCUCAAUAUUGGUUACGCAGCCCUCAGUUCCAGCAUCCUGAAUUAUCGCUUCUAUCUGAAACAAAUAAUGGGUAUUUCGAGAUAUUAGAAACACUGGUUUCCUAAUGAUUAAAGUCAAAUAUUAAGCAGAGAUUCAAGUGCAAUCAUUUGAAGCGAUAGUCAAAAGACAACUGAAACAUACAAGCAUACAAAAUGAAAGUAUUAAUCAAGUCAUUUCAGGAGAAGCCAUGAGACAUAAUCAGGUACUGUUAACAUUAUGCUAGCAAAUAUUCAGGUUUCUUUACUAAUUAUUUGAUUAAAAGAGGCCAUUAGUGAAGUUAACGUUUUUUUUUCUUUUCUUUUGGGUUGAAAUAAAUAGGAUAAAAACACAGGCUCGCCGAUAAAGCUGUAAACAACAAUAGAUAAACCUUCGGAAAAUAUUGAUUAUGAAAAAAUCCACCAAAUAAUUCAUAUAUAUGUUACCGAACAAAAGCUAAUACAUAAAAUGGAGUACGUAAUGUACCACAAGGCAAGGAAUUCAGGUUUAAAUACAAGCAUAAAGUAAUUUUUGAGCCCUAAACUCAGGUAACAAACAAUGAUAAUUUUAACAUUUAAAAUUUUAGACAAGCAAGUGAAAAAGAAGCAUAGAGAGAGGAGAGGAAGUUAAAAGGUGAAAGUAAACAAUCUACGAGUGAUCUCUGCUGGUACCUGGAUAGCUUUGGAUCAGACAAAACAUCCUUCAUGGUAUAAGCAGUGUUCUCGUUUUACAAAUAUUAAGUGGUAAUCAACAACACAAAUGAAAUCACUAUGGUGGUAGUCAAGAGAAAGAACUGAUCAGAGGUCCUCUACCAUGUCAAACAAUAUACGCUCUCCAACAAGAUGGGCCAAAAGCCUCUUUUUCCUAAUUCUUUUUCAAGUCAAAGAGUUUAGGUUUCUUUGUAAGAUUUACGUCUUUGUUAGAUUUUGGUCUAUGAAAAAUGCAUUUGAAUAAUUAAAUUGGAUAACAUAAAGGUUCAUUUUAUGAAAUUUUGCUUUUCAUAAUUUUACUGUUUACUUCACUACAUUCCAUAGGUGUAAAGAGAAACAGACAAAUUCCUGAAACUGUGUAUCCAUUUUGUAUCCAAUAUAGUUAUGGCUCAAGCAUUUGCACAAGAGAAUACGGUUAAAAUGAGAAUUAAAUUUGAGACAUAUUUCUUUGUUGAUCACUAAAUCUAAAUCUCACUAAAUGUGGAAAAAUUCACAUGGAAUCCUUCUCAUAUGGACGGCACAAAUCCCAAGGAGAAAGCAUAUAGUUAGACUGGCAUUCCCAUCUCUCCAUUUGUACAAUUCUAACCUAUAUAAACCCUGAAAUAUUGGCCAAGAGGGUUCUGGAACCAAUCAGGAAACAGAAGUCAUAUAUUGAUUCUUGAGGAAUGAAUCACACUUUUCACCGCAUAGUUUCUUAUAGAAUAAACAACAAAGCAACAAAACAUGGUCAAGUUGUAUCUAUGAAUCUUUCACAAUUGUACUUUUGAAAAUCUCUUAGAGGGAGCUGCCAACAACAAGAAAAAGGUGAUUCUACACCAACAAAGUUCAUUCAAUAAAGACUAGCAAGCAUAAAAUCAUGCCCAUUUUGCAGCAACAGCUGUAGAUUACUACUAAAAUUCCAAGCAAACAAUGGCAUACCACACCCUUGUAGAAUGCAAUCUGCGGAACUGAAUACUUCGUCCCGAGCUUUGACUGCUCAUCAGCAACGUUAUUUAUCACCCCAUAGUAAACCUUCCCAUCAUACUGGUUUCUGCAUGCUCGCAACUCGAAUUGCACGUAAGCCAGCUCCUUAUUAAUUUUGAGAAGAACAUCGUUGAAUAGCUGCUUAUUAUUGACUGCAGCAUAUGAUGUGAGCAUCAGAGGUACCAAAGCAAAUCACCAUAUAUGUAUAUGCGAUUGUUUUUUCUUUUGAUAUUUUAAACUUAUAGAUGCUCAAUUAACUGUUGGAGACUUGAUUGAUCGUCCAUCAUGUGCUACCAACACCUCUAGACGAAAAUAGAGAAAACCGAAUGGUAAAAGAAAUAGAUGCAAAAAAAAUAGACCAAUAUUUACGUCGUUCGGCAACUGCCCACAUUCACGAGGAGAGUGAGAGAGAUAUUCCACUAUAUGAAAAAACAAAAGUACAAGUUUACACCUUAUGUUUUUUCCAAACCAUAAGCCAAGAGUCUUAUGGUGAAAUUCACCCUUCUCUUGCUCCAACAAAAACUCUUAAAGAAAUAACCGAGAAGAGCUUUUCAAAAGACUAAAUUAGAGAAGUAUAAAGUUUUUGACCAAAAUCCUUUAUGUUGUUGCUUUGGAUAGCCAAACCACUUAAGUAAUUGGUAGAGCACCUCCACGCUGCUGCUGAUCUCAAACUUGAUGCCGCACGCAAGCCACUGAACACUUCUCUUUUCUACCAAACACUCUUAUGUCUGUUCGUCCGGGCUAACAUCACCUUAAUUUAUCAGCCUCUACUAAUUAGCUUAGUCAUGAUGUAAGUUACAUUAUCCUUUACAUUAUCCUUUGCAGAAACCUUCAUAAGCUGAAUUUCUCCAUCAUUCUUCUCAAUGAGCUCCCGUAAUUUGUAAUACAUGGCGUCUAUGUGUUUUGUCCUCAAAUGGUAAACCGAAUUUUUUUGUGAGACAUAUAACAUUGACUAUCACAACAGAUGAUUACCUCAUCCUGUAUGAUCCCGAGUUUCUAACCAAAGCUCUAAGCUAAACUGCUUGCUUAGCCGCUUCAAUCGUCGCCAUAUACUCCGCUUCUACAGUUGACAAGGCUACAAUGUAUUUUAACGUAGAUUUCCAACUGAUUGGUUCGUCGCCAGCAAAAAUUUGUAAACUGUAAUAGACUUACACUUAUUCAAAUCACUAGUAUUCAAAAUCUACAAACUCCUUCAUUUUACCGUUACCGGAAUCUUUCGAGUAGAGAAUACCCAUAUCCACUAUGCCCUUCAGGUACCGUAGAAUUCACUUCACAGCCUCCUAUUCUUGUUUUUCUAGAUUUGACAUAUAUCGACUAACAACACUAAAUGCAUAAGAAAUAUGAAACCUAAUACAAAUCAUAGCAUACAUCAAGCAACCGACUGCACUAGCAUACAAUAACCUUUGACCUAGAAUUAAUCUCCUUAUCCGUCUUAGGACACAUCUUCUUAGAAAGUUUGAAGUGUUGGGCCGACAUAUUAAAUUGUUUUAGAAUAGCCUGUAUAUAUGUCUUUUGUGAUAGCCACAGCUUAUCCUGUAUGCGGUGUCGCCUGAUCUCCAUAUUUAGAAUUUUUCUAGCACUUCCUAGAUCCUUCAUAUCAAAUUCCCAACACAACUAAUCAUCACUACACUUCUUCUGAAUUCUUAGCCCGGUAUCAGCAUAUCAUCUACGCGUAAGUAGAAUAAACGAACCAUCUUCAAGCCUUCGAUAAUAAACACAAGUGUCGUAUAAACUAAUGCCAUAACCAUGCUCGAUCAUAAAUCCGUCAAACCAUCAGUACCAUUGCCUCGGUGCCUGCUUUAAUCUGUAGAGGGAUCUUUGCCUUAGUGCAUGCUUUAACCAGUAGAGUGAUCUUUGCCUCGGUGCUUGCUUUAACCCGUAGAGAAAUCUUUUCAAUUUGCACACCAGACUCUCCAUCGUCGGCUGAAUAAAGCCUUAAAACUACUCUAUGUAAAUUUUGUCUACUAGAGCCCCAUGAAGAAACGUGGUCCAAAAGUCAAGUUGCUGAAGCUCCAUAUCAAACAUAGCCAACAUAGCUAGAAGUAUCCUAAUCGACGCGUGCUUCACCACUGGCGGAGACACCUCCUUGAAGUCGACUCCCUUUAUCUGCGCAUAGCCCUUGGCUACUAACCACGCCUUAAUUUUUUAAGGUUUAGAAAAGUUCGUUAUGAUAGUUUGUUUGAGCUUUUCUCUGAAGAAGAGAAAUAAGAUGAAAAAGAGUGGUAAAAUAUAAAAGAAGUCAAGAUAGAGAAUAUUGAGUGGUGACUUCUUUUGUUUGGUUCACGUGCACUCGGUUCAUAGAGUUUAUAAACGAAUUGAUUCCUAUUCCUAUUGGUGGAUAUUGUAGCGAUACAGUGAGUCACGUUGAGUUCCGAGUAGGACUUCAAAUCAUACUUGACUUUGACCAGGCCCUACUACAUUAUAUAUAUCUGUAUGUGGUACCGGCCAGAGCUAAUUAGUAGAGGCUAAUAAAUUAAGGUGAUGUUUUUUUUUUUUGAGAGAUAGGUAGCAUGCUACCUGCUUCGUUUAUUUCAUUUAGAAAUAAACUUAGCUGAAAAUGUGAAUCAACUAGGAUUCAAAUUUGGGUCUCGGAUACCAACCACCAAGCCCUUUGCCACUUGCUCUAGGGACGGUCGGUAAAUUAAGGUGAUGUUAGCCCGGUCCUGAGAGUAUACAACAGCAAAGAGGAGUGGUGUUCGGCAGCUUGCAUGCGAUGUCAAGUGAGGUCGGCAGUAACGCAAAGGUUCUCGACUAAUUGCUUGAGCGGUUUGGCUUUACCGAAGCAACAAUACAAAGAAUUAUGGUAAAAAAUUUGAUGCUUCUCUAAUUUAGUCUUCUUUAAUUAAGGUUUCUCGAAAAACUCUUUCUGGUUAUUUUUUUGAAGUUUUUUGUUGGAAAGAGAGAAGGAUGGGUUUUAGAAUAAGGCUCUUGGUUUUUUGUUUGGAGAAGACAUAAGGUGCAAGCUUGUAUUUUUAUUUCCUCAUAUAGUGGAACACAUUCCUCUCACUCUCUCCAUGCUGAAUCACAUAAACAUCGGUCUGUUUUUUGCAUUUAUUUCUUUUACGAUUCAUUUUUCUCUAUUUUCAUGCAUCUGUGUUGGUAGCGCAUUACGAACGAUCAAUCUAAGUCCCCACCAUUAACCUUAUCUUUAUCUAUAGGAUCCACAACUAUAAAUUCAUGUCUAAUGAUUAGAACUUGGCUUAUAGAAGGAAUAAAUUCAACAUAAUCUUGCCACUAGCAGAAUCUUACGUUCAUAGUAUCUGCAACUGCAGAAGCUUAAAUGCAUAUGAUUUGCCUAAUCUAACAUUAGAAACCAUACACCUCUGCAUAAAUCAACAAAAUUACCUGGGUUUUUUCCGCUGAUGCCCAUGAACAUCUCAUGGAACUCCUCCUCCAUUAACGGCCCACGGCUCAACAAGGCUUGUAUAAGGGUAUGGUGCCUCCAAGUUAAAGGCGCCAUUUUCACCUCCCAGGAGAUCUACCAAAACCCUAAACUUCCAUUGAGCUCCAAGGGGGAACUCUUUGAAACCCUAAUUUUUACCUGAAUAAAGGAUCGGAAACGAACCCUAAGGUCGGAAGCGAAAAACCCUCGAUCGGCUUCGGAGAGAGCGCGCGCGCUUCUCCUCUUUUGUGGCGGGAGAAGCAGAAUCCGAGCUCGAGAAUCGAAGCGAGGGUUUUUGUAUCGGCGGGGUUUUAUCUUUUUAUCGGAUCCAAUUUGGGUUCGCACUCGUAAUUCGAAACGGACUUGGUAAGGUGCGGUGAGUCGGAUUCGUCUGGACCCGGUUAACGUGAAUGGAUCGGAUUAUUAAAUUUUUAACUAUUGACAUUAACUCAAGUUUUUAAGAGGGAUUUUUUUCACAAAAUAAUUUUCUAAAAUAUUAAUAUUUGCAAAAUAUUUUUUUCAAAAUUUUAUUUCGAAAACUAACUCUUCUUUCUCCACGUGAGCGUCACGCUGGGAUUUCUUUCACCUCCUUCAAUAAGGCAGCGAACAAUUCACUAUCUUCAUAAUAUAAUUAUUGAAGAUGAUUAAUAAUUCACUACCUUAGUGAAGGCGGUGACUCCACCUUGAUAAAUUUUCUAAGUUCUUGUAAUAUAUAAAGUGGAGGAGGUAAACCAUUUACCGUCUUUGUAAUAUAUUAAGUGAAGACGGUGAAUGGCUCACCGCCUUUAGUGCCCUAUAGGGGUGUAAUGUGGGCCGUGCCGGGCCGGCACGGCCCCCGGACCGAACCGGGCUGGAAGAUGGCGCGGCCCGCCCGUGCUAAAUCCGGCCGGGCCCGUGCGGGCCGCGAACCCCUGACCAUCCAGCCCAGCAGCCCCUGCCGGAAGGCACGGGCCUGUGCCGGCCGGGCCGUGCCUGCCUGGCCGUCGCGGCCGGCUCUUUUUUUUAUUUUUUAAUGUAAUCAUAUAAUUUUAAAAAAUAUGAACAAUAAAUUACAUUAUAUAAAACGAUAUUUGAUUAAAAAAAUUUAAAAUUUUUAAAAUACUUACAAAAAAAUAAUAUUUAAAUUUAUUUAAUAUAUGUUUGUAUUCUUUUUUUGAAAAAAAAUAAAGUUGGAAGGUUUUGGUCGCAAUGACCAAAAUUGGCUUUGUCUCAUGAUCAAUAUUACUCCUCCAAGGUCUGCCUAGGCAACCUUGGAGGACUAUUCCUUGGAGGAGGGCCAAGCCCUCCACCGAGGAGCAAACCCCAGGCCCGAAGGCAACUUUGCCUUGGGCCUGGGUUCCGGCCGCUGCUGGCCCGGCUGGCACGCCCAAGCGGCCGUGCCGUGCCUGGGCCAUGGCCCUCUCUGGCUCCUCGGCCCGGCACGGCCCAGGCCCGUUUCGGGCCGUGCCGUGCCGGGCCGUCGGGCUCCAAAUGUGAGGCCCAGCACGGCCCGAGGUGCCUGCCGGGCCCGGCCCGGCCCGGGUGCUACAGUGGCCGUGCCGGGCCACGGCCCGGCCCGCAGCCGUGCCGGGCCGGGCGGCCCACGUGCCGCCCGGCCCGUUUUACACCCCUAGUGCCCUACAACUUCAUUCUGAUUUUCUCUCGAUUUUCUCUAAGUCCUCGAGGCUGGUUUUGAAGCACAGAUAAGACGCUGGACAAUUCACUAUUUUUAUAAAGGCAGUGAACGGCUCACCGUCUUUAUGAAGACGGUGAGCCGUUCACCGUCUUCAUUACAAAUCGAUAACAACAAUUUGUACAAGUUUGGAGUAUUUUUUUUUUUUUGAGAGAGAUAGGUACCACGCUACCCGCUUCGUUUAUUUCAUUUAGAAAUAAACUUAGCUAGAAAUGUGAAUCAACUGGAAUUCGAACUUGGGUCUCGAGUACCAACCACCAAGCCCUUUGCCACUUGCUCUAGGGACGGUCAGUUGGAGCAAAAAAUUUUACGAGAACAAAAACUUUAACAACAAAAACAACCAAACAAGAAGAACAACAAGAUAUAUUAGAAAAUUUCGAAAGGGUGUAGCGUCGCACUAAAUGCGGUGAAUGGUUUACUGCCUGUUGAUGCCAAAAUUAAAAUUAACAUGCCGACCUAGCCCACGUAUGAGCUGAAGAAAUAAGGACACGUGGUACACUAGGAGUCGGCAAUAAGGCGCUUGAAGGUCAAAAGCGUUUAGACGGGAACGGUUGAGAAGUGGGGCGUAACUUCCAUGUGAAGUGGGGCAUAACUUUCAUGUGAAGUGGGACGUAACUUCCAUGAGAAAUGGGGCAUAACUUCCACGAUCAUGGUUACAACCACUUCCCCAACCAACCAAAAAUGUGGGCUGAGAAGACAUCACUAUAAAUAGUAAAGACAUCACUAUAAAUAGUAACUUCAAAGCCUGUAAUAAAGGUCUUUUCCCCUGAGAACAAAAGACCACCCUUAUUUCCUCUGCAUUUUAUCGCUUUUCUAUGAGUAGUCUAAAUGUAAUCUUUUUCUUUUCCGCAUUUACUGCUUUCCUAGGAGUAAUUCGCUAAGUAGAACCCUGAAGUCUGUUUGCCUCACGGGUAUCACUCCGUUGUAGACUAUAUUUGCAAAGUCUGUCUGCACCAUGGGCAUCACUCUAUUGUAAACUAUAUUUGCAGAGUCUAUAUGCCCUUUGGACACACUCUGUUUAAUAUAUAUAUAUAUAUAUAUAUAUAUAUAUAUAUAUAUAGCUUCGCUCUUUUAGCCGACCAGUUACUGUGUACUUCUUCUAUUCGGCUCUUCUGCCGACAUUGAUCCCUGCACAGUUCAUACAUUCGGCUUAUCCAGCCGAACCGAUUUUACGGUAAAGGUUUUCGAACCCGGUUGAUCCGAUCCCUCAUCAGCCGAAUCGCUUGAUCUGUCGAAGGGCGCACACUUCGAGGGUCAUCGUUCGCAGUCGUUCCACACCCCGACGCGCUCCCCGAGGAAGGUAUUUGACCGGGUCAAAGGUCGGAAAAUUCGGCUACCAACAAUUUUUUGGCACGCCCGGUGGGACAACAUUUUUAGGUAAAUUUAUAUUUUAUAUAAAUUAUGGCUGAUGAUAAUGCCAUGAAUUUGCGCAAUAGGGUUGUUCCUAGAAAUUCUGAGAGUGAUCAACCUAGUGAUUCAAACAAUGCUGGCGAAUGUCAAGCAGUUUUGCCAGUUGAAGGAGAAACUAGUGGACAGUCGGCUCAUCAAGAGCCGAGUCUAACUCAGGCGCUCGGCCAGAUGAGCCAAGUCCUGCAAACUUUAGAUUAAAAUAUCCAUCAAAGUACCGCUCGAUUAGACGCGGUGCUGGCUGCCAUCACGGCUUAUAAUAAAAAUAUUGCACGAAUGGGGCAAUUAUUGACUCGAAAUGAACAACCAAUGACAGGCUUACAAGGGUCUAUGAUGACACCGGUGUUGCAAAAUCCUGCAACACCGGUAAAUGGACAGCCCCAAUACCAUGGGGCACCAUUCCAAGCGGCUUACAGGCCAGCCGUCGUCAAUACCGGUCAACAGCUGGAAAUUGCAUGGGGAUUGCCACUACCCCCGCAGAUGACAACAUACUAGCCCCAAAAUAUAGGGGCUAGAGCUGGGGGGCAGGUUCCAAAUAUUCAAGAAGCAAAUCCCAUAGUACAAAACUUCGGACCAUUACAAGGACCGAAUGUAGCACAAGCACAAGUUCCUUUGCAGGAAAACAAUGAUGAAAUAUAUGCGCAAAUCGAAGAAGCCAUCCGAAAUACUGUUGAAAUAGGUGCAAGGCCGGCAAUGCGGCCUAUGUUUAGAUCACCUUAUCCUACAAAUAUAGACAUAGAGCAUCCAUACCCGGCAAACUAGAAAAUACCGAAGUUUGAUAAAUUUUUUGGGGAUGAGACCGAAAACACGGUUGAACAUGUGACGCGGUUCACGGCACAGUGCAGGGAAGCCGCGACAGAUCCAUUUUUAAAAUUAAGAUUGUUUAACACGUCGUUAACUAAAACGGCGUUUACUUGGUAUACAAGUUUAUCAACCAAUUCCGUCCAAGAUUGGGACAAAUUGGAAAGAAAAUUUCAUGAGCGAUUCUAUAGGUCGGAGCCACAAUUAUCGGUUGUCGACUUGGCUUUACAACGACAAAUGUCAGAUGAAACGGUUGAAGAGUAUUUGAACCGUUUCAAAAUAGCCAAAACCCGGUGCUUUAUGAGAAUGCUGGAAUCAGAGUUCGCCAAAAUUGCGUUAAAUAGUCUGCAUUUUAAGAUAAAAGACUAUUUUGAAGAUAAGUAUUUUUCUAACCUAUUUGAUCUAGGUAUUCGAGUUGCCCAAUAUGAGCAAUUUCGGAAGGAAAGUGAGGACAAUCGGCUGCAAUGGAGUCGAUAUAAAAAGCAAAGCAAAGGCAAAGAGAACUUCUUGAUAGAAGAACAGUCGGUUCAAAAAGAGCCGAGCCAAUCAAGUGAAAGUGAAGAAUCGGCUGAUGAAGCCAAGGUAUAUGCGGCUGGUAAAGAGCCAAUUUCUUCAAGAAGAAAUCUUGAUAGAAGAACAUUCGGUUCAAAAAGAGCCGAACCAAUCAAGUAAAGUAAAGAAUCGGCUGAUGAAGCUGAGGUAUAUACGGCUGGGACGAUAAAGAGCCGUUUUCUUAAAGCCGACCAGGACCAGCAAAACCAAAGCUUGGGUCUCAGCUGUGUCAUUUGAGCAGUCAAUUUGGCACCAAUAGUUAUCCGAAUGUUCAUUCGAAAGGCUAUUGGGGUGGCAUUGUUGAUGCCAAUAUUGAAAUUAACAUGCCGACCUAGCUCACGUAUGAGCCGAAGAAAUAAGGAUACGUGGUACACCAGGAGUCGGCAAUAAGGCGCCUGAAGGCCAAGAGUGUUUAGGCGGGAACGGUUGAGAAGUGGGGCGUAACUUCCAUGUGAAGUGGGGCAUAACUUCCAUGUGAAGUGGGACGUAACUUUCAUGAGAAGUGGGGCAUAACUUCCACGAUCAUGGUUACAACCACUCCCCCAACCAACCAAAAAUGUGGGCUGAGAAGAUAUCACUAUAAAUAGUAACUUCAAAGCCUGUAAUAAAGGUCUUUUUCCCUGGGAAUAAAAGACCACCCUUAUUUCCUCUGUAUUUUAUCGCUUUUCUAGGAGUAGUCUAAAUAUAAUCUUUUUCUUUUCCGCAUUUACUGCUUUUCUAGGAGUAGUUCACUAAGUAGAACCCUGGAGUCUGUCUGCCCCACGGGCAUCACUCCGUUGUAGACUAUAUUUGCAGAGUCUGUCUGCACUAUAGGCAUCACUCUGUUGUAAACUAUAUUUGCAGAGUCUGUAUGCCCUUUGGGCACACUCUAUUUAAUUAAUAUAUAAAUAUAUAUAUACAUAUACAUAUAUGUAUAUAUAUACAUAUAUGUAUAUCAAUAGUAUAUUAUGCUAUAUCAUGUAAACUGUAUAACAAUAUAAUAUCUAUAAUAUAUAUAAUUAAUAUAAUAAUAUAGAAUACGCUAAUAUAACUAUUAAUAGGGCACUAAGUCAUUGGCUUGCUAACCAAGUUUUGGCCAUUGAUAAGAGAUGUAUGGUUAAGAGAUAUGGGCCCCUAGGUGAUGGGUGGUUGGGUUGAAUCUAUGAUCUAAACGAGUGAAAAUAGUCUCAAAUAGUAAGCCACGGUGGAAAACUGUAGCACCAAGUGUUUCGUAGCUAUUAAAUCAGCAUGCGUUGGGAGUAGAUGGACUCUAUAUAUACUAUCUAUUAAUAUAUAAUUAUAUACAUCUUAUAUAUAUGUAUAUAUAAUGAUCUAAUGUAUAUAUAUAUUAUAUUAGAUAAUAUAUAUAUACAUCUAUGAAUAUUGUAUAAUGUAACAUAUAUAGUUAUAAACAUGUAUAUGUAUACAUAUAGUAUAUAGUUAUACACAUUAUAUGUAUAUCUAAUAUACCAUAUAAUAUAUAUAUUACUAUAUAUACAUAUAUACAUAUAUGGUUUAUAUUGUAUAAUAUACUAGAUUAACUAUUAAAUAUAUACAAUAUACAUAUAUGUAUAUAUAUAAUAUAUAAACAUAUACUGUAUAUAUAUACCAUAUAUACAAUAUAUAUUAUUAAUUAAUACCAUAUAACUAUAUAUAUAUAUUGUCUAUAUAUACUACAUAGAUGUAAUAUAUGUAUAUAUAUAGAAUUGUAAUAUAGGACAGAUGUAUAUAGUAUAUAGUAUAUAUAUAAUACACUAUAAUAUUAUAUAUGUUAUGUAUAUAACAUCAUAUAUAUAUUUAUUGUUAUAUAUACAAUAUAUAUACAUCUAUAUAUAUACAGAUGUAUAAGAUAUGUAUUUUUUAAUUUAAUAGAUAUAUAUAUGUAAUGUUAUAUAUAAAUGUAUAUAUAUUAUUAUGUCUAAUAUAUAUAAUUGUAUAUACAUUAACACUAUAUUAUCUAUGUAUAUUUAUCAUAUAUAUAUAUAUAUAUAUGUACAGAUGUAUUAUUAUAUUAUGUAUUAAUAUAUCACAUAGAUAUAUAUACUUAUGUAUGUAUAUAUUCAACAGACUGUCAUAAUUAUAUGAUGGUAUGUAUACAGUACACACAUUAAUAUUAUGAUAAUAGCACUGCCAUACAUUAUAUAAUACUAUUAUAUGCCUGCUAUGUAUGUACUAUAAUACACAUUUAUAUAACUAUAUUUAUAUCUAAUGUCUACAAAUAUAUAUUAUAUCUAUGUAAUUAAUAACAGACAUACAUAAUAUAUAUAUAUAUCCUGUAUUAUACUACCAUACAUAUAUAUAUAUAUAUAUAUACAUAUAUACAUAUAUGUAUAUAUAUAUACAUAUAUAUAUAUACAUAUAUAUACAUAUAUAUAUAUACAUAUAUAUACAUAUAGGCAUUCGGCUUCUUCAGCCGAUCAGUUACUGUGUACUUCUUCUAUUCGGCUCUUCUGCCAACAUUGAUCCCUGCACAGUUCAUACAUUCAGCUCAUCCAGCCGAACCGAUUCUACGAUAAAGAUUUUCGAAUCCGGCUGAUCCGAUCCCUUAUCAGCAGAAUCACUUGAUCUGUCGAAGGGCGCACACUUCGAGGGUCAUCGUUCGCAGCCGUUCCUCACCCUAACGCGCUCCCCGAGGAAGAUAUUUGACCGGGUCAAGGGUCGGAAAAUUUGGCUACCAACACUGCCUUAGUGAAUGUGGUGAAGUAUUUACCGGCUUCAUUGGACUUUACUAGAUAUAUUAGAAAGAUGGUGAAGGCGAUGAACGAUUCAUCAUCUUCACAAGAAUUAUUCUACUUGGCGCCUACGUGGCGAAAGGAUGGUUAAUUAGUUUUACAAAUAUAAAUUUUAGAGAGUUAUUUUGCAAAUUUUAAAUUUUAAGAGGAUUAUUUUAUAAAAAAAUCCUUUUAAGGGCGUGUAUGGUUAACGGUUUUCUUUUUUAAAAAAAGAUUGGCAAUAAAAAGUUGGAAUUAUAAAAUUUUAUAUUUAUUUUUAUCACAAAAUUUAAUAUAACAGGAAUUAAAAAUUUCUGUAUAAUUUUAUAAUCUCUUGAAACAUGAGAUUCAAACAUCCAACUCCUCCUCCCUAGGAGAAUUCUUUUCCUAAAAAAUUUGAGUUAAAAGGAAUAAAAUAUUCUUGUUCACAUUUUAUAUCCAUUUCAAUUUUUAAAUUAAGUACGGAAAUUAAAUAAAAUUAUGAAUCUCCUAAAUUUAGGAAUAUUUAAAUAGAUUUUAUCCUCAAAUCUUUAUGAUUUUUAUAUGAUUAAUUUAGUGUAACAUGACAUAUACAUAUACUAUGAGUUUCUAUAAAAAAUAAAGUAUUGUAAUAAUUGUAUUAAUAUAACUGAAUAAAUUAGUGUCUGAGUUAAAUGUAGAAAUAACUAUUUCCGAUAUGUGCCAUGCAAAAAUAUUUUUACAAAAUAGAAAUUUUAUCAUGAGAAUAAAUUUUAAAAAGUUAAUUGUCAGCUAAAAUUUUAAUUUAUGUGAACUAAACGGCCCAAAAGUUUUUUUUUGUCCCCGAGAAAAAAGUCCAUACAUAAAUUUACUAGAGCUUAAUCCGUUAUGAAAUAGUUGUAAAGGGCUCUGUGGUUGAUACCCGAGGUUCCAAGUGUGAAUCCUAAUUGAUUCCCAUUUCUAUCUAAACUAGUGUAGAGACCCACGCGAUGCAGCGGGUAGAUAAUAAAAAUAAAUUUUUAAUAUUUUAAUAAAUUUUAUAUUUGCAGCUUAUAGGAAGCUAUAUCAUGUUAAGCACAGUCAAUUUGCAUGACUAAAUUCAGUUGUUAAAAAAAUAAAAUAAUAGCUAGAAGUAUAUGAAAUACAUAAAUAAUAACUUAACGUAUCUGGCUUAAGAAAAUUUUGGUUGGCAUUUCAGGCUCCAAUCUCCGCAUCAUACUUUUUAAUCUACGAAAGAAAUUUUGCCCACAACAGUGUCUACUUAAAAAAAUGAUCAUAAUAUAAAAAUAAAACAAAAAACAUCAAUCUUAAAAAAAUUAAUAUUUUUUUGGAGCACUUCUCUUACUCAUCCAAAUCUCAUACAUCUUCUUAAUCUUCAGCUGGUAGUUGCUCCGCGUGCCGAGUCAUUUCUGGAUUUCUAUUGUAACCUAUGAACAAACACCUUAUUUGCAUCACCAAACUGCGAUAUUUAAACCGAUACAGCCUUGCCAUCACAUCAACCUUAGAAAUCCUUAUUCUUAAACAAUUUGAUUUAUCAAGAAGUUCCUGCGAUUCUUGAGAAGCGAGCUCCCGCGCAACGUUGCCGCCAAGAGAAGGCUAGGACGACGCUCCCCUUGGCCUAGUUGCGGGCGCGUGCGAGCCGUACGAGGAGGCAGCCGAGGCGGCGGCGGUUCACGGCGAGCGACGGCUCCGGUGCAGACCAGCCCAGCGAGCACUUAUAUGGGCCGCGGCUGGACUUUACAGGACGAUAUUUUUUGAAGAAGACAACGUUCUUCGCAUGUUCUUCUUAUUUAUCAUCCUCAUAAUUUUUGUUAACACAAUGAGAUAGAGAGAAGGAGAUGAGUGUGGGGUGAGAGAUUAGAUGAUAAUGUUUCUUUUUGCAUGAAAAAUAACAUGUCAUGCAAGAAAGAGGGGGUGAGGGGAUUAAUGGUGGAGGGGAGUAGAUUGGUGUUACAAAGCUCACUAAUUGAUGAAAUAUAAUGCAUGUAAUUAAAUGUGGAAAGGUGAAGGGUUGAGCAUUUAGAAGUGGAGAUUAAUGGUGGAGGGGAAUGGAUUGGAAUUACAAAGCUCACUAAUUGAUAGAAUAUGAUGCAUGCAAUUAAAUGUGGAGAGAUGAAGGGUUUAGCAUAGCAUUUAGAAGUGAGGAUUAAUAGUGGAGGGGAGUGGAUUGGAGUUACAAAGCUCACUAAUUGGUGAAAUAUAAUGCAUGUAAUUAAA
rnacentral:lncRNA from 1 species